GUGCUCGCUUCAGCAGCACAUAUACUAAAAUUGGAACGAUACAGAGAAGAUUAGCAUGGCCCCUGCGCAAGUAUGACAUGCAAAUUCGAGAAGCAUUCCAUAUUUUU
rnacentral:snRNA from 1 species